rnacentral:lncRNA from 1 species
GAGCAAGGAAGGCUGACCUUGACAAGCUAGAAACUGUAGCCUCUGAAGCCCAUGAAGGCAGAGAGGGCUUGGCUCCUGGUUCCAGGGCGCUCCUCUCCAGCAGGCCAAGAAGGAGUUAACUCCAAGGAGGACCCGGGAUUCUCCUAGACUGGAGGCCAGUGCCCAGCUUUGCUCUGCCAACUCCGGGAAGAAGUCCUGGGAUCUGUAGUUUGUGCCACCACCCACCCCUGGCCUGCCUGUUUAUCAACACAGCCUGGCAGACUACAGUUCCCAGAAACCUGCAGAGGCUAG